AGUCGCCAAGGAAAAAGGAAGGGCAACUACCGUUCAGUGAGCAAGACGCGGCCCCAGCCUCUGAGCCUCUGCCAGCACUGACUGGAACAUACACGAGGGUAUCUCCUAUGGUCAAAAUACACUCAGAGAAGUGCAGGGUGGGACUGUGUUACAACUGCGUGGGGCCAGGAGAUGCUAACCCAGCUGGAGGACAAGGAGCCUUCUUGCCCAGUGUUCCAAAGGCACCAAAGGGAUUGGGCUGUCUGGCUGUACUUCAGAACGUGAUCUGCAUGGUAGCGUGAUGGAGCACACCUGUAAUCACACACAGCUCUGAGGCAGGAGAAUGGUGAGCAAAGCUAACCUGGACAACCUAGUGAGACCUUGUCUCAAGAGACUCAGGUCCGGUGGCUCAUAUUUGUAAUCCAUCACCGUGGAGGCUGAGGUAGAACUGCAGGUUUGAGGACAGCCAAGGCUACAGAGUGAGACCCUGCAGCAAAAACAAAUAA
rnacentral:lncRNA from 1 species